rnacentral:rRNA from 1 species
GAUGAAGACCGUAGCAAAUUGCGAUAAGUGGUGUGAUAUGCGAGUCCAAAACUUAUACGUGAACCAUCGAAUUGUUGAACGCAUUGCAUCGAGCUUUGCCCAAGCACGAUACGCGUUGAUCACCGCGGUUAUGUCUUCAGAAUUUGACCAUUCUGAGCUCGGGACUCAUGGCCCUCUCGGGUCACGCCUCCUAAGAUGAAUUCGCUUCGUUCCAACGUCGCGCUCCUUGUUGUGAACUUCAAGGCGUGAUGGUCGGAAUCGGCGAGCGGUCAGGCUGGAAACGCCUAGACCAAACAUGCAUCCCUUCGGGGCUUGCGACACCAAACCACUGCGUGAUCGACGUGGGACGACGGGCUAAACUUAAGCAUAUUAAUCAGCCCAGGAAAAGAAACUAACAAGGAUUCCCCUAGUAACUGCGAGUGAAGAGGGAAGAGCUCAAUGUGUGAAUCUGACCGGGUCUAAAACCUGGUUCGAAUUGUGCACUAUUGACGCUGGAUCAGCUCAUGAAAGCUUGUGGCGGAUGUCCGAUGAAACACGGCACCAUAGCGGGUCACAGUCCUGUACACGCCUACCAAGCAUUCGAGCCUAUGACCAGU